rnacentral:lncRNA from 13 species
ACUCAGAAACUGACUCAGCACAAGAGGACUGCUUCAAUUCACUAUGAUGUCAUUUCCUACCUGACCAAUCAGCACCCUUGGAUCAUUGGCUUCCCCUCACCCACCAAGUUCUUCUUAAAAACUGAAUGCUCUGGGAGACCAAUCUGAGUAGUAAUGAAACUCUGAUCUCCCACACAGCCUGCUCUGUUUGAAUUAUUCUUUCUUUAUUGCGAGGCCUUUGUCUUGAUAAAUCAUCUCUGCCUAAGCAGCGGGCAAGAGAAAACAGUAACUUCCAGAUUCAGUUGAAAUGCAGAUUAACUAAGCCAAUCACAUAGAAGCUCAGCUUCAGCCACUAUGGAAGCAAUCCAACUCUUCUGAGAUCACCAAGCUAUGAGGAAGCCCAAAUUAUCUCACAUGGAGAGACCACAUGAGAAUCUCUACAUGAAGAGACUUCAGAUUACAUGAAGAGGAAGAGAUGCUUGGCUGGUUGCUCCAGUUUCCUUCAUGUCAAAAUCCAGCCAUCUUCUGAGUAUAACUACAUAUGAGACACUGAGCCAGAUGCUGAGUUGUGCCUGCGUUUGUGACCUGCAGAAGCAAUGCAGAUGAGCCAGAAACUGGAACUGACUUUUUGAAAUAAUCUUGAGCUGAUAGAGAAAUCUAUGCUACAAUAUGUAGAGACUCUUUAUAAUAUGACAAAUGUACUGUGAUAUACAUGGGUAGACAGUAAGGAAGAUGUAGAAAAUGUGAAGAAUAACAGGAUCAGUCUCCAUGCGAGCCUGUACAGGGAAACAUAACGGAGAGGGUCUUUGCCUGUGAAUUUCAAAGAAUGUGCACUGCCACUACAGAAUGUUACCUACAGUAUGUCAGGAGGUCAUUGAGAACAUAAUAGCCAAAUACUAAACUGAAUCUAUUCUGCCUUCUCAACUCUGCAGCUCCACAGCUACCAAACAGGUCUUUACAAAACACUAGUAAAAUCUUCAGAUCAAAAGCCUCUCCGAUGGAACCCAUCACCCAGGGAAACAGAAGCUGCUGCGUGUAUGGAGUUAGCAAAUAGUGCAGAGAACCUCUCAUACAGCUAAAUGUCAUUUGAAGCCCAGUGAGAACAAAGUUCAUUGUUCACAUUACGCUUAGAAAUAUAUUACUAGUGGUCUCCAUUAAAGUGCAAAAGAGAAAACAGCUGUUCUUCUUCAUCCUAAGUUCAGUAUUAUUUUUAUUUGCUAUACUCUGAGGGUUAUGCCAAAAUUUUCAAAUACUUUUGCUAUCUCUGAAAUCUUUCAGUUAGGGUUUCUUCUUGCUUUAUAGUAUGUAUGUGUGUGUGUGUGUGUGUGUGUGUGUGUGUGCAUAUAUAUAUACACACACACACAUAUAGAUGUAUUUGAGUAUAUAAUAUGUUUAUAAAUCAUCUGUAAUCAUAAAUUUGCUAUGGAUUAAUAUUUUUAUGAACAAGACACAUAUGAUUUAUAAUUUUACCCAAUGAUUGAGAAUUCUGAGGACAAAAUAAAAAGAAAGUUACAAUCA